CUGCAAGACACCCUGCUUCUGGCUCUGAGCUUUGCUUGUCUUCAGGGAUGGAGCCCCUCCCAAGGCAAGUUCAACUGGGUUCUUUGGCAGCCGAAGUCUACACGGACCCUGCAGGGAGCGGUGGAGAAAAGUUAGAUGUCUGAAGUGUUUUUCAUUGGACCAAAAUCAAGGUGUUGGCUGGGCUACCUUCCCUUCUGGAGACUCUAAGGAAGAAUCCAUUUCCUUGUCUUUUCCAGAUCCUAGAGGCUACCUGCAUUCCUUGGCUUUUAUCCCCAAUCUUCCAUCUUCGGAGCCAGCAACAGACCUUUUUCUUCCUUCCAUGAUAUAGAUAUAUUGAUCAUGAGGAGAGGGCUCACCCCUCACCCGGAGAAGUAGUUGGGGAAGCAAUAUGCGGAAACAAAGCCAUGAAUCUGACAAGAAAUGUACUUAAGGUUGUAUAUAUGGAGAUGAAUACCCAUUGUCCUUUGCACUUUCUGGAUGAUAAAUUAGAAAAGAAAAAUCCAAAGAAUGAAGUUGUGCUAUUUGUCCUCACUUCUGAUUUGGGAAACUAGAGGAAAUUAAGAUGGGAAAAGACCAUGUGAGGACACAGUGAGAAGGAGACCAUAUGCAAAGCAGGAAGGAAGAUCUCACUGGAACCAAAAACCAGCCCUGCUGGCACCCUGAUCUUGGACUUCUAGCCUUUCUCAGAACUGUGAGAAAAUAAAUUUCUGAUGUUUCAGC
rnacentral:lncRNA from 1 species